AUGGCAAUAUCAAGUUAAAACACUGGUUCCCAUAUGCUCACUAAAGUUAAGCAAUGUCAAGCCUAGUCAGUACUCAGAUGGGUGACCACUUAGGAAUACCAAGUGCUGUAAG